UAUUCAUCCCUUUAUCCCACCGGUCCCCAGGCUGUGAAGACAUAUCCAUAUCCGUCUUAUUCAAUAUUGUAAAUAAGCAUGUAGGACAUAGUAAAUACUGCAUCAAUAUUCAUAACAUUUUUAAUUAAUCAAUCAUCUGUCCCAGUUGGCUCUGACAUUGAAGCGUUCCCACAGAUGUUGCCUCUCACAUGGGCAGCAUUCAGACUUCAGCGUCUCUCAAUGGCCUUCCUGACUCCAACCUGCAUCUCACCCUGAUUUUCUUCCUGCUCCGGGAACUAGGCUUUGGGCUUCGCUCUGCUCUCUCGUGGUGUUCCGAACCAUGCACUCUGAAUGCCUUCUUUGGCUUUGUAUUUCCUGCCUGCUGAUGACCACUUACAGCAGUUCAAUCCCAUACAAGGUCCAGGGCAGGCCAAAUAGGUGGAGAACAGUCCAGAACAGUCCAUGCAUCUGACAAGUGCAUGGAUUUACCCAUCUGGAAUACAACAUUCAGCAGCUACAGAACAAAAACCAUGUGCAACUGGACAGCAAUAAAUAUCCGGAAGACCCAAUACGAACAAAAUGGCAUUGAAGGAUCUGUCAAGAUCAACAGCAAGAGAACACUGGGCCAGCAGCACUCCGCUGGAGACAGAAACAGCCCACCAUGGAUGAACACAGCAGGGAAGGGGCACUGCCCCGCCAUCUGGAAGGUGAUGUGGAGAAGGCAUCACAGGCCCGCACAGGUUCUUUCAUUGUUCUGGUGCGUCCUCUGGGUCAUGGACGGGGAGGAACACCCUGGAGGGUCAAGGCCACCUGCCCAGCAGUCUAGACCAGGUGAGUGUUUUCGGUGGUGAGGUAAGGUGAGGAUGAGGCACCAUCUUUGGGUUGUAAGAAAUUGAAACCCACUCAUACUAACUUGAGAAAAAGAAAGAAAAGAAAAACAAACACGCGGGGCGCCUGGGCGGCUCAGUAGA